rnacentral:rRNA from 1 species
UGCCAGCCGCCGCGGUAAUACGGAGGGUGCAAGCGUUAUCCGGAAUCAUUGGGUUUAAAGGGUCCGCAGGCGGAUGUAUAAGUCAGUGGUGAAAGCCUACAGCUUAACUGUAGAACUGCCAUUGAUACUGUACAUCUUGAAUUCGGUCGAAGUGGGCGGAAUGUGUCAUGUAGCGGUGAAAUGCAUAGAUAUGACACAGAACACCGAUAGCGAAGGCAGCUCACUAGGCCUGAAUUGACGCUCAGGGACGAAAGCGUGGGGAGCGAACAGGAUUAGAUA